rfam:Cricetulus griseus cell line CHO-K1, whole genome shotgun sequence.
GUAAGGGUGGUCUGGCUACACUGUCACCCUGCUGACAGCCAAGGUUGAUUCAGCUGGCCUGGGUGGCUUAGGCAAGUGUUCCCUGCUUUCCCUAGUGUGAGUCCCUCCUGAAGUUACAUAAUUGGUCAAAGAGAAAACCUCUGUCAAGAGGUCCACUGUUAAGUCUGGGUUACUCAAGUGGCUGUCACCAGGCUGGAAGCUCCAAAUGAGUUCCCAAGUCCAUUUGUGGGAGAACACAAGUGGCCAAGACUCCAGACACAUCCAAGUAAGUUGCUUUAUAUAUCAGGCUGCCUUUCUAA